rnacentral:rRNA from 1 species
GUCCCAGUUCGGACUGUAGUCUGCAACCCGACUACACGAAGCUGGAAUCGCUAGUAAUCGCGAAUCAGAAUGUCGCGGUGAAUACGUUCCCGGGUCUUGUACACACCGCCCGUCACACCAUGGGAGUCGGGAACACCCGAAGUCCGUAGCCUAACCGCAAGGGGGGCGCGGCCGAAGGUGGGUUCGAUAAUUGGGGUGAAGUCGUAACAAGGUAUC